AACAGCGCCAACCAGACUUCAACAAUACCAACUGAACUUCCACAGGAUCCUCCAGACUCCUCCAGCGGACAAACUUCCAUAACGCCUUCCGGACCCUUCUAUCAGCCGACCUUCAGUCAGAUUCCUUGUGCAACUGGACCUCUCCAGUGGACAAGUCUUCAGACAAGCUUCUACAUCAUAAAAAUUUCAGACGGACAUCUCCAGCA
rnacentral:lncRNA from 1 species